CGGAUUCCUACCGACCAAAACCCCACUGUGUUCCGUCAAGCCGCAUCAGCGACAGGGCCACGGCCGGGUAUGUGUAGAAUUCAUCCGUGACCCCAUCAGCGGCAGCCCGUCGCCAUGGAAAUAUAAGCCUAGAAUAUAUUAUACUCUAACGCCUCACAACAAUUUUGGAGAAUGACCCAGGAACAACGUAUUUCGCCGUAACCAGCUUCAUACAGGGCGUAGGCUGAGGUAUGUCAUAAAGUCUCACACCGGCCGCGGCGCGGCGACCCAUUUGGCCUGUAAAUGGUACACGACAUAUUGCGCCUUUCACCAGGUUGCGCCCUGUUUUGUACACGACUAGGCUGUAUCUGAAAUGCAAGAUGUCUUCAUAUUUGUAGGUUUUGGUUUGUUUAUAUUGUAAUAGUUGUAGAUGUUAGUCAAAUGUUGACGUGUAAUUAACGAUUAGAAGUAGAAAAUCGUUUAAAUUAUUAAAAUGUGCUUGGUUUA